GUCAUUCUUUUGUUUAUGAAUGGCUGAUACUGUUUGACAACAAAAAAGGGAAAACAUUAAUAUUAGUUUCAUCAUGAAUAAAAGUCGUAAGAAUGAAAUUCGUGAUAAGGUGAAGGAAAUGAAACAGAGGCAACAAAACUGGAUGAAGCAAAGAGCGGAAAUCCAGAACAGUUCAUCAUCCCCAAAUGCUUUAACAUCAGUAACUGCUCAAAAAGAAAACACAUCAUUGUCCAGAGAGAAGCCAGAAUACCAUGAAGGAAAGACAUUUAUCAAAAGCAGGGAUGAAAGUUCCAUUGAAGGACUUCUAGCCACGAAUAAAUCCAAGGCAAAGUUUCAAAACUGGUUAAAAGCUAAAGAGUCUCAGGAAUCAGAUAACGAAGAUGAUGAAAUGGAAGACCAUGUGGAUGAAUUCAAAGAGAAUAGUAAGGCAGUUAAUUUCGGUGCAAACAAAACUGUGUACAAGAGCGCUAAUUAUAAUGAUGGCUCCAUUCGGCAAAACAGCUUGCGAUUUGCUAACAGUGGUAAACCCAAAAUGCUUCAUCCAUCAAGUGUUAGGUCAGAGUCCACUGACCCCGGAUUUAACAGCGAAGAUGAAACAGGUGAGAUCACUGCAGCCACACUUCUGUCCCCUGAAGAUUUUGACUCGCGAGCCGACGAUAUCAUAGCAAGAGUGAAAGGGGAUUUAAAGCUCUCCACCAAAUACUCAAAGGGGGUCUUCAAUAACGUAUCAAAUGCAGCAAGUUUUGUUGCCAUGAAGAGUUCCCCGUCCAAAGAGGCUGAUGUUAGUGAGAAUAGCCUUGCCAGCCAUGUUUGCCCUACUUGUGAAAAACUAAUGAUGCCCCCCAGUUCCAGCGCCAUGCUGCUCAUCCCGUGCGGCCACACCCUGUGCACGAGUUGCAGUCAGCGCACCAAGUAUUGCGCAAUGUGCGGCUGUGCCGUGCAGUCCACUACCCCGAACAUCAUGCUGCAACAGAUCAUCACCAACUUCCACACUAAACAGACACACAGACAGAAAACCAUUGCAUCCAUUCGCACGGUACCGAAAAAGAACUACGAAGAAGAAUACCAGAAUCUCCUAACAAGACGAGAUAUUCUUAAGGAGGAAGCAGAGAAUAUCACGUCCGUAAUAGACGAUCUCUCUCAUCAGUUGAAGCGUGAACGGAAACAGGUGUACAGCAUUGAAAGCAAGGAAAAGACUGUGGAAGCUGAAAUCUCAAAGCUUCAACAACAGCUACAACAGCUGGCCAGUCAUCGGAUGGAUUACGAGAGAAAGUGUGAUGAGAUAGAGAUACAGUCAAAGGAGGAAACCAACCGACUGAACCUCGUUAAAGACUCUCUAUCAUCUGUACAGCUUCAAAUAGACAAGGUGAAACUUCUAGCUGGCCACUGAGGCAAAACAAGAAGAAAGAGAAGUUGCUUAAAUAAGGAGACACAUGCUGUAAAUAUCUACUGAGAGGAUACAACAGUUCCUUCCCCUGAUCAAUCACUAGAGUUACCUUCCCUGGUUGUAACAACGAUCCCAACAGAUCACUUGAAAUUCUUGAAUGUAACAUCAACCAUUUCCCUGAAAACUUUGCCAAGUAAAAUGUUACUUGGUAGCAUGAAAGAAGACAAUGGAUUUGAAAACCUUAAAAUUUCAUAUACUGAUAAUAUUUGUCUAAUAAUACGUGUUUAUAUUUUUUUAGGAGCACUGAAUUACGGUGGUGGAAAAAGUCCAUGAUCUAUUAAAAGAGUUGUUUGUUUUUAUUGCUUUUAAAGUUUAAAGUUGUAUGCUUUUAUAAGUGAUAGUCAGUCCAUAUUUAAUAACAAAGCUUUUGGAGUGCAUGCACAAACAUAUAAUCCUUGUUGAGUUGGUUGACUAUUUGAGCCGCGUUCUGAGAAAACUGGGCAUAAAAUAUGUGCGUAAAGUGUCAUCCCAGAUUAGCCUGUGCAGUUGGCCUAAAUUGGAUUUUUAAACGAAAAAUGUCAUAAAAGCGGAAAGUGGUGUCCCUGAUUAGCCUGUGCGGACUGCAUAGGCUAAUCUUGGAUGACACUUUACGCACAUGCAUUAUUCCAUUAAGCCCAGUUUUCUCAGAACACGACUCAUUGUAUGUGUGUCUCUCAUUUAUGCAUGGUAAAGGCUAUUAUGUGUUUUAGAACGUGUUCACAUUAUGCACUUGUUCAGUAUAUUGUAUAAACAUUUGUGUCAAGUACAUAAGUUAUAAUAUUUAUUUAUUUAUUUGAAAGCUAGAUUUGCCAUAUUUAUUAAAAUACAUUACCAAUAUUUACACAGUUUACUUUU